UAAACAUUUAUUUACUUUACAUAGUGGGUUUAAAUGUAAGAUAUUGUAAAGCCUCUGUGUGUGUGUGUGUGUGUGUGUGUGUGUGUGUGUGUGUGUGUGCUCAUAUUGGAUUAAUGACAGGCUCGCAUGACUUUGGAAAGUCCAAUUGAGCAGUUUUUAGGAUAAAACUGGAUUCCAUGAGAUUUUCAAGUAUUUUUGGAGGAUCAUUUUACCUUCUGAGGCUUUUGAUUCUUGAAUUUGGUUCUUCUUUAAUCUCAUUUUGAUUUGCAAUUUGCAGAAAUGGCGUGAGAGCUUUUCGUAUAAUGAAGGCACUUUUUAUUCAAGUUCCUAUUUCUAUCUCCUUUUUCCUUGCCUGUCAGAUGCAUAUCUGAACAAGUGUUUCUUAUCAUUUUUAAAACAUCCUGCAAAUUAAAAUGACUAUAUUAUGCUUUAUUUCUCUAGAUCUCAAAACAUGACAGAAAAGUUGCCAUCCUUUAAAAGUGGUGGAGCUUACUCGUUUGUUGAUUUGUCGACUUCAGAUGGUCUAUGCAUCUGUCCUCUUUUGACAGCAUUGUCUUUUUUGAUAAGAGUGGAGGUAUAUUUUGUUAUUUGACAGCAAGCUGGAAACCUACCACAUUAUCACCUAUCAAAUUAUCAUCCCAGAUUUCGGAUCACAAAAUAUCUUCAUCUUCAAUUAUUAAGCCAGGGGCUUAGAAGUCUAGAAAAACCAGAAAAUGCAAGAGAGUUUUCUUGAAAAAGGAGAAAUUUUAAAAUACUGCCGUUAUAUGUACUUGUGAGCACUUCCUUUUGGCCAUUCUGUCCAAUACUUGAGGGGCAGUGAGGUAGAAACUCUUGGAACCUACUACAGGCAAACUUGAAAAUUUGUAUGGAGAGAAAGACCGGUAAUCCAGGGUGGUGGCAUCAACUGAUUAUAACUAAUUUCUAAUCCUGUGGUUGAAUGAUUGUAAGGGUCUGCAUAUAAAAAUGCCGACAAAUAAAUGUAAACGAAGAGGAGCGUUGCCAACGCUUCAAUCCUUCAGGAAACGGCCAAAUCAAUCACAGUAUGGAGAACUUGUCAUCUGGGAGCGAGAGGAAAUAACAAGGACUAGAACCACUUUUCUGAUAUAAAUGCUCUGAUUAUGUCUUUAAAUUAAAUAUCGAUGUUUCUUAAAUAUAACAGAAUUACAGUUACAAUAAUCUAAGCUUUCUUUCCAAUC